CCGGAGUGGACGCAUCACUGGUGUUCGGGUUGUCAUGCCAAUGGCACUGCCCGGUAGCUAAAUGCGGAAGAGAUAAGUGCUGAAAGCAUCUAAGCACGAAACUUGCCCCGAGAUGAGUUCUCCCUGACUCCUUGAGAGUCCUGAAGGAACGUUGAAGACGACGACGUUGAUAGGCCGGGUGUGUAAGCGCAGCGAUGCGUUGAGCUAACCGGUACUAAUGAACCGUGAGGCUUAACCUUACAACGCCGAAGGUGUUU
rnacentral:rRNA from 1 species